rnacentral:lncRNA from 1 species
ACAUCAAUCUAUUUAAUGAUCGGAUCUUUUGCAUCUUCUUCACAUACCCAUUAGGUCUAUUCGUCGUAGUUGAUAAUACACUGCUCAGUUUUCUACUGCAUCUUUGUUCUUCAACUUCAAUUCUUGUAGCUGCAAUUCAAAUCCAAUGGCUCAGAGAAUACUCAAAAGAUGCGAAAUCAAACUCUGUAUUCAUGGACGAGCUGGAUUCGCGUUUGUUUUUGUUGUUUCUUCAAACCUUGAAUCCUUUGCUUUUUCUCGUGGAUACUACAGAUUCUGUUUUUUCAUUUUAUCAUUUGUUUAGAUUUCUGCUCGAUGAUGAUCAAUUUGCUUUAACCACACUGAACAGAGAGGCUGGAAGAUGAUGGCGUAGGUGUUGAAAGAAUCUGCCUUUUCUUUAUAGCUGUUGAAUCAGUUUCUUCUUCCUUUUGAUUCAUGAUUCUCUCGAUGAAGCAUCUUUCUGGGACAUGGACGAUUCACCAUCUCCAUGUUUCAGACGGAGGAAGAGAGAGUUUCAUUGAAUCGAUUGGAAGAGUCUCUGGUUGCUUCGGCGAUAGAGAAAAGCACAAUGGAUUCGUUGCUUUCGUCAUUCGUCUUCGAGCUCUUCUCUCCUGUGGAUAAACUUUGGCCUUGACUGAGAGCAUUCAAAAUCUGAUUACGUCGGUUCUCUCUUUUAGAGCUAAAGUGCCAUGCUUUCAUUCAGUUCGUCUGUGAAAUUGAAUUUUUCUGUACGAUUUUUCUGCACAAGUACUGAGGCUUUGGGGAAUUUGUUCAAUCAGGUAGUGACCCAGUUGCCUAAUUCUUUUGAAGUGUGCAAAUAUUGAUGGGAUCCGCUUUGCAGCUGAAGCUUUGAAAUUUUGUAUUCCUGCUGCCUGUAAUGCCCGGAUAUUUUGUUCAGUUUUUAAUUGAGUGAUUUGUUGUAAAAGUCUAUUGAAAUUUGAUUAUCUGACGAGAAGAAUUUUGUUUUGCAUUAGCUGAGGACAGUUCGAUAUAUGCCAUUGAGGAAGAGAUGGACAUGAAGAUGAAGAUGGAAGAAAUCUGAGUUAAUCAAUGAAUAUGAAGACUGCUUCUUUCUUCAGAUUUCUCUGAUUAGUCGAGUUUGAACACAGAAAUUGCAACUUAGCUUGUAUUUGUGACAGGAUAGUUGUGCAUAACUGACAUUAACAUCAACCUAUAAAUUUUAUCUACGCGAUUAGCUUUUCUUUAUGUAGCAUUUGUGCAGGUCCAAUUCUCAAACUUUUCGCUUGAACGGUGCCUCUAAUUGUCUACUCGAUUUGUGUUUGGGUACCGAACCACUCCUUUGAAGAACCGGUUCGAGAAUGAGACAAACGUUAGAAGUUAGAACAGAAGUCGACUAAGUAUGAUUCAAUGACUAAGGCUUGCUGGAGCCAAUUGAAUUUUCGAUUAUACUGAGAACCACCAGAAACCUUUUCUGGAUAAUGUAUGAUUCGUUCGUCAUUGGUGAUUUCUGCUUUAUUUUUCUGUGUUUGGUCUUUGUUUUUUCCCCCUAAUAAUGGUGACGGUGGGGAUAUUAGACGUGCAUGCCCACUUACCACGUAAGGUGUGGUAUGCAUGGCUAAUGAACCAUUAGGUGACCACAAGUCACAACUACUUCUGGUUUUUGUUUUUGUGUGUUUAUAUUUUCAAGUGAGUUUUGUCGUGUCUUCUCGAGUGAUGAAUAAACAUUUAAUUUGGAAAAGUUCGGUUGACCCGGCUGCUUUUACCCGAUCUUGCACAUGUACACUAAAACUCGUGCUAUUGAAAUAUUGAAACGCACAGCUGAAUUAAUAAC